UCUGAAUUAUAACUGGUAUUAAGGUGAAUAUACUAUGGAGUCAUGAGGAAAGUUGAUAAUGUAUUUUUUUCCUUAAGUCUAUUUUUUGCUGUUUAAAUGUUUUAAAUAUAAACACGUGAUUUCUUGCUAUCUCUGAUUUUAAUUCAUGUUAGAAUUCAAAUAUGUAUGAGUCAUGUCUUUAAAAUGUUGGUUUGUGAAUUCUGUUCCCUGAGACAUUCCCCUGGGACUCUGGGAAUAUGCAGUCUAUGUUAAGAAUGAAGGCUGUUGGAUUUGCCCAGUUAUAGUCAGGCUUAUGGGAGACGAUGCUUCCUCACUGCUCACAGUUUCAUUCCAAACAGUUUUCAGGGGCAUGGCAGUCUCAGUGUGUGUCCUUUUCAAGAGUUCCGAGAAAUUUCCUUGACUAGGUGGGCAGCUGAGGGUUUGUUUCUCAUCCAGUAUAGAGUUCAAAUCAUAUGUUAGGUUCAAAGAUUAUAGAAAUAUAGACUUUGUAUAUGGUCAUAAACUACUGCCCAUGAAAACCCUAGUAACAGAU
rnacentral:lncRNA from 1 species